GUUCGCAAAUGAUGUUAAAAAUUAUUUUAUGCUUAACACUGAUUUAAUUCCGUGAAGAUAAAAAACUCCGCUUAUUAUCUGAUGCAAUC